rnacentral:rRNA from 1 species
CCUACGGGGGGCUGCAGUAGGGAAUAUUGGGCAAUGGGCGCAAGCCUGACCCAGCAACGCCGCGUGAAGGAAGAAGGCUUUCGGGUUGUAAACUUCUUUGAUCGGGGACGAAAGUGACGGUACCCGAGGAACAAGCCACGGCUAACUACGUGCCAGCAGCCGCGGUAAUACGUAGGUGGCGAGCGUUAUCCGGAUUUACUGGGUGUAAAGGGCGUGUAGGCGGGCGUAUAAGUCGGAUGUGAAAUCCCCGGGCUCAACCCGGGACGUGCAUCCGAAACUGUAUGUCUUGAGUGUCGGAGAGGAAAGCGGAAUUCCCAGUGUAGCGGUAAAAUGCGUAGAUAUUGGGAGGAACACCAGUGGCGAAGGCGGCUUUCUGGACGAUAACUGACGCUGAGGCGCGAAAGCGUGGGGAGCAAACAGGAUUAGAUACCCCUGUAGUC